UCGAGUGUAGACGUGGGGCUUUGAUGCUGGCGGUCAAACGCAUGUGCUCGAGCCCUCGCUCUUAUCCACUUAACCCCUGUGCGCUUAUCCGGAGUGUCGCAGACUGGUGUCGGUUUCGACUGGCUAAGGUCUGUCUCUCUGGUCUGAUUACAAACACUUUUGUAAUGUCUUGUAGAAUGUGUUAGCCGCAUAUAGGCUGAAUUGUAAUA
rnacentral:misc_RNA from 1 species